AUACGUAGGUGGCAAGCGUUAUCCGGAAUUAUUGGGCGUAAAGAGGGAGCAGGCGGCAGCAAGGGUCUGUGGUGAAAGCCUGAAGCUUAACUUCAGUAAGCCAUAGAAACCAGGCAGCUAGAGUGCAGGAGAGGAUCGUGGAAUUCCAUGUGUAGCGGUGAAAUGCGUAGAUAUAUGGAGGAACACCAGUGGCGAAGGCGACGAUCUGGCCUGCAACUGACGCUCAGUCCCGAAAGCGUGGGGAGCAAAUAGGAUUAGAUACCCUAGUAGUCCACGCCGUAAACGAUGAGUACUAAGUGUUGGAUGUCUAAGUUCAGUGCUGCAGUUAACGCAAUAAGUACUCCGCCUGAGUAGUACGUUCGCAAGAAUGAAACUUAAAGGAAUCGACGGGG
rnacentral:rRNA from 1 species